ACCUCACUGGCUCAGUUGGUAGAGCAUGUGACUCUUGAUCUUGGGGUCGUGAGUUCAAGCCCCACUUUGGGCA
rnacentral:tRNA from 1 species